UCUCCUGGAAACGGGUGGUAAUGCCGGAUGUUCCACAUGAUCGCAUGUGAUUGUGGGAAAGAUUUCAUCGGCGUGGGAUGGGGUCGCGUCCUAUCAGCUUGUUGGUGAGGUAACGGCUCACCAAGGCUUCGACGGGUAGCCGGCCUGAGAGGGCGACCGGCCACAUUGGGACUGAGAUACGGCCCAGACUCCUACGGGAGGCAGCAGUGGGGAAUAUUGCACAAUGGGCGCAAGCCUGAUGCAGCGACGCCGCGUGAGGGAUGGAGGCCUUCGGGUUGUAAACCUCUUUUGUUUGGGAGCAAGCCUUCGGGUGAGUGUACCUUUCGAAUAAGCGCCGGCUAACUACGUGCCAGCAGCCGCGGUAAUACGUAGGGCGCAAGCGUUAUCCGGAUUUAUUGGGCGUAAAGGGCUCGUAGGCGGCUCGUCGCGUCCGGUGUGAAAGUCCAUCGCUUAACGGUGGAUCUGCGCCGGGUACGGGCGGGCUGGAGUGCGGUAGGGGAGACUGGAAUUCCCGGUGUAACGGUGGAAUGUGUAGAUAUCGGAAAGAACACCAGG
rnacentral:rRNA from 1 species